AAAUGACUCUCGGCAAUGGAUAUCUCGGCUCUCGCAUCGAUGAAGAGCGCAGCGAAAUGCGAUACGUGGUGCGAAUUGCAGAAUCCCGCGAACCAUCGAGUCUUUGAACGCAAGUUGCGCCUGAGGCCAACCGGCCAAGGGCACGUCUGCCUGGGCGUCAAGC
rnacentral:rRNA from 3 species